UUGAUUUGCGGACGGGAUUAGCUGGUUCUCAUCCGGAAGGGAAGGGAUAAGCGGAAUAGUUGGGAUAAUGUUCUCGAACGGAAGGAGAUGGGAUGCUCAUCCGGCUGGGAGCAGAUUGGCUCGAUUCGGGAGAAGAAAUCUGGAGAGAGAAGUUGGGAGGAUCAACGUGGAGGAGAUGACGGAGAACAGGGGAUGUUUCGGUUUUGGAUGAAUGUCGUGGAACAAGGGAGUUGGAAAGGAUUCGUAAAAUCUGGGACUUGGAAUUCAAUCAAACGUGGAUGCUGGGAUGUUAGGUAGAUUAAGCCGGAAGAUAAGAUGGAGGAAUUGGAUUCGGAAGUUGGGAGGAAAGGCCGAUCUGUGGGAUAUUAGAAGGAUAGAUUCAGCUGGGAAUCUUGGUUUGGGGUGUCCGGGAUGCAUGGGAUUCGGAGAGGUGAACUCAUCCGUGGAUGGAGUCAAUCCCAAAUGGGAGAGGAAGAAACGAGGAGUGCUCUGUUAGCUGGACACAGGGGAUGAGGAUGAAGUUUCGGAUGGAGAAGGAUGCGGACGCGAGAUGAACUCGGGACA
rnacentral:lncRNA from 1 species